AUGGCGGCGCCAGUGCCGGGGCCGGAGGUGUUCGACGUCGUCAUCUUCGGGGCCUCGGGCUUCACCGGCAAGUACGUCAUCCGCGAGGCGCUCAAGUUCCUGCCCCCCAACGCCUCCCCGCUGCGUUCCCUCGCGCUCGCGGGCCGCAGCCGGGACCGCGUCGCCGCCGCGCUACGCUGGGCCGCCGCGCCGGGGCCCGCCCCCGACGUCCCCAUCCUCGUCGCCGACGCCUCCGACCCGGCCUCCCUCGCCGCGGUCGCCGCGCGGGCGCGCGUCCUGCUCUCCUGCGCAGGGCCCUUCCGCCUCCACGGCCGCCAGGUGGCCGCGGCCUGCGCCGAGGCGGGGGCCGACUGCCUCGACAUCUCCGGCGAGCCCGAGUUCAUGGAGCGCGUCGAGGCCGACCUCCACGAGGUCGCCGCCAAGAACGGGUCGCUGAUUGUCUCCGCCUGCGGGUUUGACUCCAUCCCCGCGGAGCUCGGGUUCCUGUUCAACUCCAGGCAGUGGACGCCGCCCUCCGCGCCGGUGAGCGUGGUCGCCUACGUCAACCUGGAGUCAGACAGGAAGAUCGUCGGGAACUUCGGCACGUUUCAGUCGGCCGUUCUCGGCGUGGCCAACGCCAGCGAGCUGCAGGCGCUGCGCCGAUCCAGGCCAAGGCCGGCGAAGCCCAGGAUUCCGGGGCCUCCGCCUCCCAAAGGAUCACUGAUUGAGCAUGACAAGGCACUAGGACUGUGGGUGAUGAAGCUACCUUCUGCCGACACAGUGGUUGUGAAGAGAACCCUAGCAAAAGUGACAGAGCAUCCCGAGGGCCUUCCUGGUGCGGACGAAACCCCAGAAUUUGCGGAGCAUAGGAAGGAAUUCUGGUCCUCUAUCAAACCUGCACAUUUCGGUGUGAAGAUCAGCAGCCGUUCGAUCCUGGGCCUUUUCUUGUGGCUGUGCACUGGACUUUUCAUCGGCAUCCUGGGGGGUUUCUCCUUCGGCAGGUCCCUCUUGCUGAAAUUCCCUGAGUUCUUCUCCAUCGGGCUGUUCAGGAAGACCGGGCCAACAGAAGAGGAGGUCUGCAGCGCCUUGUUCAAAAUGUGGUUCAUCGGCCGCGGGUACAGCGACUCGGCCCGCGCAUCAGAGCGUGGAAGCAAGCCAGACAAGGAGAUCGUGACCAGAGUUUCGGGGCCUGAGAUCGGGUACAUCACCACCCCGAUCGUCCUCGUCCAGUGUGCCCUCGUCCUGCUGAGCCAGCGGGCCAAUCUGCCGAAGGGCGGGGUCUACACGCCGGGCGCCGUCUUCGGCCCCACAGAUCUCCAGAAGCGCCUCGAGGAGAAUGGGCUGUCGUUCGAGCUCAUCUCUACGAAGACCCUCCCUUGA
rnacentral:rRNA from 1 species